rnacentral:rRNA from 1 species
GCUACAGGCUUAACACAUGCAAGUCGAGGGGCAGCAUGGUCUUAGCUUGCUAAGGCCGAUGGCGACCGGCGCACGGGUGAGUAACACGUAUCCAACCUGCCGUCUACUCUUGGACAGCCUUCUGAAAGGAAGAUUAAUACAAGAUGGCAUCAUGAGUCCGCAUGUUCACAUGAUUAAAGGUAUUCCGGUAGACGAUGGGGAUGCGUUCCAUUAGAUAGUAGGCGGGGUAACGGCCCACCUAGUCUUCGAUGGAUAGGGGUUCUGAGAGGAAGGUCCCCCACAUUGGAACUGAGACACGGUCCAAACUCCUACGGGAGGCAGCAGUGAGGAAUAUUGGUCAAUGGGCGAGAGCCUGAACCAGCCAAGUAGCGUGAAGGAUGACUGCCCUAUGGGUUGUAAACUUCUUUUAUAAAGGAAUAAAGUCGGGUAUGCAUACCCGUUUGCAUGUACUUUAUGAAUAAGGAUCGGCUAACUCCGUGCCAGCAGCCGCGGUAAUACGGAGGAUCCGAGCGUUAUCCGGAUUUAUUGGGUUUAAAGGGAGCGUAGAUGGAUGUUUAAGUCAGUUGUGAAAGUUUGCGGCUCAACCGUAAAAUUGCAGUUGAUACUGGAUAUCUUGAGUGCAGUUGAGGCAGGCGGAAUUCGUGGUGUAGCGGUGAAAUGCUUAGAUAUCACGAAGAACUCCGAUUGCGAAGGCAGCCUGCUAAGCUGCAACUGACAUUGAGGCUCGAAAGUGUGGGUAUCAAACAGGAUUAGAUACCCUGGUAGUCCACACGGUAAACGAUGAAUACUCGCUGUUUGCGAUAUACAGCAAGCGGCCAAGCGAAAGCGUUAAGUAUUCCACCUGGGGAGUACGCCGGCAACGGUGAAACUCAAAGGAAUUGACGGGGGCCCGCACAAGCGGAGGAACAUGUGGUUUAAUUCGAUGAUACGCGAGGAACCUUACCCGGGCUUAAAUUGCAGAUGAAUUACGGUGAAAGCCGUAAGCCGCAAGGCAUCUGUGAAGGUGUUGCAUGGUUGUCGUCAGCUCGUGCCGUGAGGUGUCGGCUUAAGUGCCAUAACGAGCGCAACCCUUGUUGUCAGUUACUAACAGGUUCCGCUGAGGACUCUGACAAGACUGCCAUCGUAAGAUGUGAGGAAGGUGGGGAUGACGUCAAAUCAGCACGGCCCUUACGUCCGGGGCUACACACGUGUUACAAUGGGGGGGUACAGAGGGCCGCUACCACGCGAGUGGAUGCCAAUCCCAAAAACCUCUCUCAGUUCGGACUGGAGUCUGCAACCCGACUCCACGAAGCUGGAUUCGCUAGUAAUCGCGCAUCAGCCACGGCGCGGUGAAUACGUUCCCGGGCCUUGUACACACCGCCCGUCAAGCCAUGGGAGCCGGGGGUACCUGAAGUGCGUAACCGCGAGGAGCGCCCUAGGGUAAAACUGGUGACUGGGGCUAAGUCAU